UGGUGGAGUGAUUUGUCUGGUUGAUUCCGUUAACGAACGAGAUCUCGACCCUUAAAUAGGUGAGCUUGUAGUCCUUUUGGCAAUUGACAACGCUUCAGCUGCGUCAAUUGAUACAGAGCAACCACUUCUUAAGGGGACUGCGCGCGUCUUAUAGCGUGCGGAGGAGCGAGCCAAUAGCA
rnacentral:rRNA from 1 species